AUUAUUUUGGCAGAUAAAAUGCAUUAAAUUUAGAAUUUAAUUAUAUAAUUUAUAUUAUAAAUAAUA
rnacentral:tRNA from 1 species